rnacentral:rRNA from 1 species
UACGAAGGGGGCUAGCGUUGCUCGGAAUCACUGGGCGUAAAGCGCACGUAGGCGGCUUUCUAAGUCAGGGGUGAAAUCCUGGAGCUCAACUCCAGAACUGCCUUUGAUACUGGGAAGCUCGAGUCCGGGAGAGGUGAGUGGAACUCCGAGUGUAGAGGUGAAAUUCGUAGAUAUUCGGAAGAACACCAGUGGCGAGGGCGGCUCACUGGCCCGGUACUGACGCUGAGGUGCGAAAGCGUGGGGAGCAAACAGG